CUAUUUAAAGUGGUACGCGAGAUUGGUUUAGAACGUCGUUAGACAGUUCGGUCCCUAUCUGCCGUGGGCGCUUGAGAAUUGAGGGGUUCUGCUCCUAGUACGAGAGGACCGGAGUGGACGCAUCACUUGUGUUCGGGUUGUCAUUCCAAUGGCACUGCCAGGUAGCUAAUUGCGGAAGAGAUAAGUGCUGAAAGCAUCUAAGCACGAAUCUUGCCCCGAGAUGUUUUCUAGA
rnacentral:rRNA from 1 species